rnacentral:rRNA from 1 species
UAAAUACCGACCUGCAUGAAUGGCGUAACGAGAUGGGAGCUGUCUCAAAGAGGGAUCCAGUGAAAUUGUAGUGGAGGUGAAAAUUCCUCCUACCCGCGGCAAGACGGAAAGACCCCGUGGACCUUUACUACAGCUUGACACUGCUACUUGGAUAAGAAUGUGCAGGAUAGGUGGGAGGCUUUGAGUAUAUGACGCCAGUUGUAUAUGAGCCAUUGUUGAGAUACCACUCUUUCUUAUUUGGGUAGCUAACCAGCUUGAGUUAUCCUCAAGUGGGACAAUGUCUGGUGGGUAGUUUGACUGGGGCGGUCGCCUCCCAAAUAAUAACGGAGGCUUACAAAGGUUGGCUCAGAACGGUUGGAAAUCGUUCGUAGAGUAUAAAGGUAUAAGCCAGCUUAACUGCAAGACAUACAAGUCAAGCAGAGACGAAAGUCGGUCUUAGUGAUCCGGUGGUUCUGUGUGGAAGGGCCAUCGCUCAAAGGAUAAAAGGUACCCCGGGGAUAACAGGCUGAUCUCCCCCAAGAGCUCACAUCGACGGGGAGGUUUGGCACCUCGAUGUCGGCUC